UGGGGAAUUUUGGACAAUGGGGGAAACCCUGAUCCAGCCAUCCCGCGUGUGCGAUGAAGGCCUUCGGGUUGUAAAGCACUUUUGGCAGGAAAGAAACGUCGCGGGUUAAUACCCCCGCNAAACUGACGGUACCUGCAGAAUAAGCACCGGCUAACUACGUGCCAGCAGCCGCGGUGAUACGUAGGGUGCAAGCGUUAAUCGGAAUUACUGGGCGUAAAGCGUGCGCAGGCGGUUCGGAAAGAAAGAUGUGAAAUCCCNGAGCUUAACUUUGGAACUGCAUUUUUAAACUACCGGGCUAGAGUGUGUCAGAGGGAGGUGGAAUUCCGCGUGUAGCAGUGAAAUGCGUAGNUAUGCGGAGGAACACCGAUGGCGAAGGCAGCCUCCUGGGAUAACACUGACGCUCAUGCACGAAAGCGUGGGGAGCAAACAGGAUUAGAUACCCUGGUAGUCCACGCCCUAAACGAUGUCAACUAGCUGUUGGGGCCUUCGGGCCUUGGUAGGCGCAGGCUAACGCGUGAAGUU
rnacentral:rRNA from 1 species